rnacentral:rRNA from 1 species
GUUGCAGAGUCAACACCAUGUCGACCCGCCCCCUCUCCUCUCUCGCGCAGGCGCAGGCGCAGUCGUGUUCUCUCCUGUCGCGGCACGGAGCCCUGCUCCUUUCUUCCAUAAAAGAAAGGAAAGCCGGCCGCCCGUUCCCAGCUCAUACACAAGAGCAAGCAAGCAGACAUGAGAGGCGCCCGCCUCGCCCCGUGCCUGCCCUUGCUCCUGCUCGCCGUCGCCCUCGCCGCGUGCUGGGGCGGAGGCGCCGACGGGCACGGUGUGCACCCGCGUCGCCAUGGACGCCUCCGCCGCCGUGCGCGCGUCGCCCAACCUCCUCGGCUCGCGGGGCGAAGAUACCACGCGCAAGCGACGGCGACUGGAUCGGGGUAUUCUCCCCUUCCAAUUUCAACGCGUCCACGUGCCCUGGUUCCCACGGGUCAGGCCCUGGCCCUGCGAUCUGCUCGGCGCCAAUAAAGUAUCAGUUUGCGAAUUACUCGUCAGGUUAUAACAAGUCAGGGCAAGGGGCUCUCAGGUUCCAGUUGAUCAACCAGCGCCAGGAUUUCUCCUUCGGGUUCUUCACCGGUGGACACAUCACGUCUUGCUAUUCUAUCCACUUUCUAUCUGUCCAUCAUUCAGAGAAUCACACCGACUUCAUCCAAUCCAUCUGCAGCCAGCGCUCGUGGCGGUGUCGAACAGGAUCGUCUUCGCGAACCCGAAAGCCCCGGUUUACCCACGUCUAGCGCUCGGGAAAACAUGGAACGAGAUGACUGUCACAUGGACAAGUGGGUAUGGCAUCAGUGAGGCGCACCCCUUUGUUGAAUGGGGCAUGAAAGGGAGCCAUCCUGUGCACGCGACAGCUGACACUGUCACCUUUGGUCGCGAGAGCCUCUGUGGAGAACCUGCUCGUAGUGUUGGUUGGAGGGAUCCAGGCUUCAUACACACAGCUUUCCUGAAGAAUCUAUCACCAGAGAAAGAAUACUACUACAAAAUCGCACACACGCUCCAUGGUGGAAAAGUUAUAUGGGGCAAGCCCAAAUCCUUCAGAGCACCUCCUUAUCCCGGGCAAAAGUCACUGCAGCGGGUUGUUAUUUUCGGUGACAUGGGAAAGGACGAGAGAGACGGAAGCAACGAGUACCAGAAUUACCAGCCUGCGUCACUCAACACCACCGACGCGCUGAUCAGGGACCUCGACAACACCGACAUCGUGUUCCACGUCGGCGACAUCUCCUACGCUAACGGCUAUCUGUCGCAGUGGGAUCAGUUCACGCAGCAGGUCGAGCCAAUCACCUCUCGAGUACCCUACAUGAUCGCAAGGCGGGAACCACGAGCGAGAUUUCCCCAACAGCGGGUCGCUGUACAACGGCACGGACUCCGGCAGGGAGUGCGGGGUGCCGGCCGAGACCAUAUACUACGCGCCGACGGAGAAGAGGGACAACUACUGGUACUCCAUGGACUACGGGAUGUUCCGGUUCUGCGUGGCGGACAGCGAGCACGACUGGCGGGAGGGCACGGAGCAGUACAGUACAGGUUUCUCGACCGCUGCCUGGGCAGCGUGGACCGGGCGAAGCAGCCGUGGCUGGUCUUCAUCGCGCACCGUGUCCUCGGCUACUCCUCGGGCUUCUUCUACGGCUACGACGGGGCGUUCGCGGAGCCCAUGGCGCGGCAGAGCCUGGAGGGGCUGUGGCGGCGGCACCGGGUGGACGUCGCCUUCUACGGCCACGUCCACCAGUACGAGCGGACGUGCCCUGUCUACGAGGAGAGGUGCGUGCCGGACGGGCACGGCACCGUCCACGUCGUCGUCGGGGGCGGCGGCAGCCACCUGAGCAGCUUCACCGCCGAGGCCCCGCCGUGGAGCGUGUACCGGGAGAUGGACUACGGUUUCGGCAAGCUCACGGCGUCCGACGCCAGGUCGCUCCAGUUCGAGUACCGGCGGUCCAGCGACGGCAAGGUGUACGACAGCUUCACCCUGCACAGGGACUGAGUAGCUGUACCCUCUGGCCUCUCACCACAUGAUGCAGAGGAAAUCGGCUGUACACAUGAACUGAGAUGAACACGUCCGUCCACAAAUUCUCCUGAUUCUACUCUAAAUAAAGGGAAAAGAAAUUCUCUAUAAGUUUAGUCAUGUACACAAGAUACCAAGUGAUGUGCAAACUACUUUUUUUUACGGGGAAACUUCCGAUCUACUCAUUAACUGUCAAGUUAGUACAAAGAACACCAGAAGAUGUAUAUGAUGUUCAAGAUAGCAAUGAUGUAUAUGAUGAAGAUGUACAUUUUUCUCGAUAAAGAUGAUGAAGAUGUACAUGAUGCUCAAGAUAGCAAUGAUAGAUGCUCAAG